rnacentral:rRNA from 1 species
AGAGUUUGUAUCCUGGCUCAGGAUGAACGCUGGCGGCGUGCCUAACACAUGCAAGUCGAACGAAGCAACCGGGGCUUGCUCUGGUUGACUUAGUGGCGGACGGGUGAGUAAUGCGUGAGCAACCUGCCUUUCAGAGGGGGACAACAGUUGGAAACGACUGCUAAUACCGCAUAACGUAUCGAGGGGGCAUCCUCUUGAUACCAAGGAGCAAUCCGCUGAAAGAUGGGCUCACGUCUGAUUAGUUAGUUGGCAGGGUAACGGCCUACCAAGACUGCGAUCAGUAGCCGGACUGAGAGGUUGAACGGCCACAUUGGGACUGAGAUACGGCCCAGACUCC